rnacentral:rRNA from 1 species
GUGGGGAAUUUUGCGCAAUGGGGGCAACCCUGAUGGAGCAACGCCGCGUGGAGGAUGAAGGCCCUCGGGUCGUAAACUUCUUUUCUAUGCGAAGAAUAUGACGGUAACAUAGGAAUAAGGGUCUGCUAACUACGUGCCAGCAGCCGCGGUCAUACGUAGGACCCAAGCGUUAUCCGGAUUGACUGGGCGUAAAGAGUUGCGUAGGUGGUUUGUUAAGCGAAUAGUGAAAUCUUGUGGCUCAACCAUGAGGCUAUUAUUCGAACUGGCAAACUCGAGAAUGGAAGAGGUAUCUGGAAUUUCUCAUGUAGGGGUAAUAUCCGUAGAUAUGAGAAGGAACACCAAUGGCGUAGGCAGGAUACUGGUCCAUUUCUGACACUGAGGCACGAAAGCGUGGGGAGCGAAC